rnacentral:rRNA from 1 species
CUCUCCCUCUUUCUUCCUGCUUAACACAUGCAAGUCGAGCGGGCAUCCUUGUGGUGUCAGCGGCAGACGGGUGAGUAACGCGUGGGAACGUGCCCUUCGGUUCGGAAUAACUCAGGGAAACUUGAGCUAAUACCGGAUACGUGCGAGAGCAGAAAGGUUUAUCUGCCGAAGGAUCGGCCCGCGUCUGAUUAGCUAGUUGGUGAGGUUACGGCUCACCAAGGCGACGAUCAGUAGCUGGUCUGAGAGGAUGAUCAGCCACACUGGGACUGAGACACGGCCCAGACUCCUACGGGAGGCAGCAGUGGGGAAUAUUGGACAAUGGGGGCAACCCUGAUCCAGCCAUGCCGCGUGAGUGAUGACGGCCUUAGGGUUGUAAAGCUCUUUUCUCCGGGACGAUAAUGACGGUACCGGAGGAAUAAGCCCCGGCUAACUUCGUG